GCCUGCCUCUCUCUUUCUCUGUCUUCUUCUUCUUUCUUUCUUUCUUCUUCUUCUUUUUCCUCCUCUUCCUCCUCUUUUCUGCUUUUCACUUCUUUGGCAUGGUAGCUGCCUUGGUUCUUCUCUUCAUCCACAUAAGUAAACCCUAAACCUCUCUUGAUUUCAUCUGAUUUAAAUCUAGAAUUUAAUUGUUAGAUGGGUUAGGGUAAUGG
rnacentral:lncRNA from 1 species